GUGUGUAUGUGUGAAAGAGGGAGAGGAACAGGCUGCCUGCUGAUCUCACUGGGGAAGGGGUGUAUAAAUAUCCAGAAGGUUUCUAGAUCCACCUUUCCCAAAACAGAGAAAGGGAGAGGCAGAGAGGAGCAAGGAGCGGAUCCACACUCGGAGAGAGCGGAACGGCUGGGAAGUUUGGAAGCUGAGUUUGGAAGGAUAUUGUGGGGAAGCGAGAGAACAGCACAAAGUGUUCCCGGAGCAGGUCCAGAGAGUACCCCGGGGCUGGAGAGUGUGUUCCCGGAGCAGACCCAGAGAGUGCCCCGGGGCUGGAGAGUGUGUUCCCGGAGCAGACCCGGAGAGUGCCCCGGGGCUGGUGAGUGUGUUCCCGGAGCAGAUCCAGAGAGUGCCCCGGGGCUGGUGAGUGUGUUCCCGGAGCAGAUCCAGAGAGUGCCCCGGGGCUGGUGAGUGUGUUCCCGGAGCAGACCCGGAGUCUCCCCCCUGCCUGGGGCUGGAGCAGCAGCAUGUGUGUCCAGCGGUUGGUGCUGCUCUUGAGCGCCGUGGACCUGGCGGUAGUGACCGGGGCACUGUCCACCUGUACCACGUUGGACACCGAGCACAUCAAGAGGAAGCGGGUGGAAGCGAUCAGGGGCCAGAUCCUCAGUAAACUGAGACUGACCAGUCCCCCGGAGGAUCCGAGUCCGGCAGAGGUACCAGCCCAGGUUCUGGCAAUGUACAACAGCACCCGGGAGUUACUGCAGGAGCUGGCCAGAGACCGGCAGCAAGGCUGUGUCACCCACAACACCGACUUCGAGUACUAUGCAAAGGAGCUCUACAAGUUUGAUAUGAUCCAGGGGCCUGCCGUGGACAAUGAUGUCAGUUCAUGCCGUGGGAUCACUUCUAAGGUUUUCCGAUUCAAUGUGUCCUCCAUGGAGAAGAAUGUUUCCAACCUAUUCCGGGCAGAAUUCCGAGCUCUCCGUGUUCCAAACACCAGUGCCAAACGGAAUGAGCAGAGGAUUGAAGUCUAUCAGAUUCUGAAGCCUGAUGAUCACAUUGCCAAGCAGCGAUACAUUGCAGGGAAAGUGGUCCUUACAAAGGGUAUCAGCGAGUGGGUCUCGUUUGAUGUCACUGAGAGUGUGAAGGAAUGGCUAAUUAACAGAGACACGAAUCUCGGUUUGGAGAUUAGCGUUCACUGCCCAUGUCACACCUUCCAUGCCAAUGGUGUCAUCUCCAAUGAACACGAGGUCCUAGACGUCAAGUUCAAGGGGAUUGAUGACUAUGAAUUCUCAGACAGCGGGGACUUGGGCAGACUGACCAAGCGGAAGGAACCGAAGUUUGUGCACAUGGGUCCAACAAACCCACACCUGAUCCUCAUGGUGUUACCCCCACACCGGCUGGACAGCAACCGGGAACACAGCCAUCGCAAGAAACGGGCACUGGACACAGCUUAUUGCUUCAGGAACGAUGAAGAUAAUUGUUGUGUGCGGCCUCUCUACAUCGAUUUCAGACAGGACCUCAGAUGGAAAUGGAUACAUGAGCCCAAAGGAUACUACGCCAAUUUCUGCGCAGGUCCCUGCCCGUACCUACGCAGCACUGAUACCCAGCACAGCACGGUGCUGGGAUUGUACAACACAUUAAACCCAGAGGCUUCAGCUACACCAUGCUGUGCUCCUCAGGACCUCGAACCUCUCACCAUUUUGUACUAUGUCGGCCGAACACCCAAAGUGGAACAGCUGUCCAACAUGAUUGUCAAGUCAUGUAAAUGUAGCUGAGAUCCCUCGUGUUGAGUGUCGCUACAGUUGGGUAAUGAGGUUUGCAUGUUUAGCUGUGCAAGGGUUGUGUCUGAGAGGUGUGUGUGUGUGUGUCUGAGAGACUGUGUGUGUGUCUGAGGGAGCUGUGUGUGUGUGCAUGUAUGUCUCAUAGAGCUGUGCGUGUGUGUCUGAGAGAGCUGUGUGUGUAUGUCUGAGAGAGCUGUGUGUGUGUGUAUGUGUGUGUAUCUGAGAGAGCUGUGUGUAUUUGUCUGAGAGAGCUGUGUGUGUGUGUGUCUGAGAGAGCUCUGUGUGUGUGUAUGUGUGUGUGUAUGUGUGUGUGUGCGCGUGUGUGUCUGAGAGAGCAGUGUGUGUAUGUCCGAGAGAGCUGUGUGUGUGUAUCUGAGAGAGCUGUGUGUGUGAGUGUGUGUGUGUGUGUGUGAGAGAGAGAGCUGUGUGUGUGUGUGUGUGUGUGUGUGUGGUGUGAGAGAGAGAGAGCUGUGUGUGUGUGUGUGUGUGUGAGAGAGAGAGAGUUGUGUGUGUGUGUGUGUGUGUGUGUGAGAGAGAGAGAGAGAGCUGUGUGUGUGUGGGGGUGUGAGAGAGAGAGAGCUGUGUAUGUGUGAGAGAGAGCUGUGUGUGUGUGAGAGAGCUGUGUGUGUGUGUGUGUGAGAGAGAGAGCUGUGUGUGUGUGUGUGUGUGAGAGAGCUGUGUGUGUGUGUGUGUGUGAGAGAGAGAGAGUUGUGUGUGUGUGUGUGUGUGUGUGUGUGAGAGAGAGAGAGAGAGCUGUGUGUGUGUGGGGGUGUGAGAGAGAGAGAGCUGUGUAUGUGUGAGAGAGAGCUGUGUGUGUGUGAGAGAGCUGUGUGUGUGUGUGUGUGAGAGAGAGAGCUGUGUGUGUGUGUGUGUGAGAGAGAGCUGUGUGUGUGUGUGUGUGAGAGAGAGCUGUGUGUGUGUGUGAGAGAGAGAGAGAGCUGUGUAUGUGUGAGAGAGAGAGAGCUGUGUGUGUGUGUGUGUGUGAGAGAGAGAGCUCUGUGUGUGUGUGUGAGAGAGAGAGAGCUGUGUGUGUGUGUGAGAGAGAGCUGUGUGUGUGUGUGUGUGAGAGAGAGAGAGCUGUGUGUGUGUGUGUGUGUGAGAGAGAGAGCUGUGUGUGUGUGAGAGAGAGAGAGAGCUGUGUGUGUGUGUGUGUGUGUGUGAGAGAGAGAGCUGUGUGUGUGUGUGAGAGAGAGAGCUGUGUGUGUGUGUGUGUGUGUGUGUGAGAGAGAGCUGUGUGUGUGUGUGAGAGAGAGCUGUGUGUGUGUGUGAGAGAGAGAGCUGUGUGUGUGUGAGAGAGAGAGCUGUGUGUGUGUGUGUGAGAGAGAGAGCUGUGUGUGUGUGAGAGAGAGAGAGAGAGAGCUGUGUGUGUGUGUGUGUGUGUGUGUGUAUGUGUGUGUGUGUGUGCGCGUGUGUGUCUGAGAGAGCAGUGUGUGUAUGUCCGAGAGAGCUGUGUGUGUGUAUCUGAGAGAGCUGUGUGUGUGUGUGCGCGUGAGAGAGAGCUGUGUGUGUGUGUGUGUGUGUGAGAGAGAGAGCUGUGUGUGUGUGUGAGAGAGAGAGAGCUGUGUGUGUGUGUGUGAGAGAGAGAGAGAGAGAGCUGUGUGUGUGUGUGUGUGUGUGUGUGUGUGUAAUGUACACGUGAGCAGCUUAAGACUGCAAAGCUGCUCUUCUGUUGGUGGAGGCCGGAGAGGAAUGGUCCCUGGCUGAACUGGCAGGAGAAUCUCGACAUAAAGGGGAAACGUCUCAGAAAGAACCUCAAACUGAUUCACAGCAGCCCAGAGUGGGAUGGAGUGACUGACCGCCCAAUCACAGGCCGUGUUCCUGGUUCUUUGAGCUGUGUCCUUGUUGUGGAUUUGUGUGGACAGCAAACAGACAGAAGCUGAGGCUGAAGGUAUACAUCUGAAACCUGAAACAACGUGAGAAGUGGGAGGGCGUGAAAGGAACCCAGUCCCUGAACAGGACGCAGGCCACGUGUUUAUGGGGCACAGAGUGACCACACCCAAAGGAUAAUAACCCACAUUGAGCAAGUCUUCACGCUUUAUUCUCAGCUUUUGACUUGCAUUUCCU